rnacentral:snoRNA from 1 species
CACCCUGGCAAUGGGCAAAGAGACACCUCAUUGGCAGUGUUGUUCUUGUAUCAGUCAGGGGCAGAGCAGAUGACAGUCCUUUGUUCAUCCUAGCUUGACGCCUGGGUUGGUGGCCAAAGCUGUUUUAUGCCUAGGGAACAUUA